rnacentral:rRNA from 1 species
AUUGAGCGCUGGCGGCAUGCCUUACACAUGCAAGUCGAACGGUAACAGGUCUUCGGAUGCUGACGAGUGGCGAACGGGUGAGUAAUACAUCGGAACGUGCCCGAUCGUGGGGGAUAACGAAGCGAAAGCUUUGCUAAUACCGCAUAAGAUCUACGGAUGAAAGCAGGGGACCGCAAGGCCUUGCGCUAACGGAACGGCCGAUGGCAGAUUAGGUAGUUGGUGGGAUAAAAGCUUACCAAGCCGACGAUCUGUAGCUGGUCUGAGAGGACGACCAGCCACACUGGGACUGAGACACGGCCCAGACUCCUACGGGAGGCAGCAGUGGGGAAUUUUGGACAAUGGGCGAAAGCCUGAUCCAGCCAUGCCGCGUGCAGGAUGAAGGCCUUCGGGUUGUAAACUGCUUUUGUACGGAACGAAAAGACUCUUUCUAAUAAAGAGGGUCCAUGACGGUACCGUAAGAAUAAGCACCGGCUAACUACGUGCCAGCCGCCGCCGUAA